GUGCUCGCUUCGGCAGCACAUAUACUAAAAUUGGAACGAUGUAGAGAAGAUUAGCAAGAAGUUUUAAUGAGAAAGAACUGUGAUUUUGAAAUACUGUAUUAUUCUCU
ensembl:snRNA U6 U6 spliceosomal RNA